UCCUAAACGUCUUGAUCCUUUCCCAUUGAUUGAAAUGAAACAGAGUGAAAAGAUCCAAGAGUUGUUUGAUGCUGUGUUCAAAAAAUGGGGCUUGGAAGUAGAGAAAUCUCUUCGGAGCAACAAUUUAAUGUUGAUUUUUGCCGUGUUCGUCUUCUCACGGUUAACUUUCCAGUAAAUGUUCUAUUCAAUCCUUAGUUCUUUUGUUUGACAACUAAGCUUCCACAUACCAUAGACAGACAGGAAGAAGAGGAGCGUUUUGUGAGGGAGCUAUUGAGGCAGAGAGGAAGCACAAAGGAGAAGAAGAACUUAGUUUAUCUUUAAAGAUUAGGUUUCAACACACUGAGCUGCUCUCAAGUGUAAUCAGAAGUUGCUUUCUCCUCUAUCAAUGAUUAUUUGACAAGAGAGCAUCCCCAAUUCUUCAUAUAUCAAUUAUCACGCUAAUGUCUAUCACAGAGAUCUGAAGCCAAAGAACAAACUGGCAAAUGAAAACUGUAAAAUCAAGAUUUGUGAUUUUGGAUUAGGAAGGGGUUUCAUUCAGUGAUAGCCCCACAGCAAUCUUUUGAACGGUAUGGUGAACAAGAUGUCUCUCUAAGAGUCUUUCUCUUCUCCUAAAUGAGAAAUCCGCUUUCCCUGGAAAGAAUGUGGUUCACGAGAUGGAUCUUAUGACUGAUCUGCUGGGGAAACCUUCCAUGGGUACUGAUCUUCUUAGACAUAAGGUUUUGAGGUAUCACGAUUUGGGACCUUGGUUCUAUCGUGGUAUUAAUAAUUCUGGGCUUGGUGGUUCUUCCAUGAUGUUGUCCUCGGUCUAUGUGAGGCCAAACUGGUUCCGUCAUCACUGUCUUUUUGAAUCACAAGGCAACUUUCUACUUGAACUCUUUAAGAUGUCAUGGAGUUUAUUAAAGUAAGCUGAGGCUGCUUCAACACAAAAUGGAGAACUUUAACAAGACACAUAUUACGAUUGUAGCAUAGAGGGAAACACAUCAACUUGGCAAUUGAGCAAUUUAAAGCACUGUAAGAAUGACAUGUUCCUACAUCUUAUAGUCAAUUUCAGUAUGUUUUUCAGUGUCCGGACUUAUAGUAUUAUAGGGAGUUUAGCUUGUGCUCGCUUACAAAUGAAAAACAUACAUGUUUGGGUUGUUUUCUUCGGGUCUUAAUGAUGUCUCUCAUCACUGUUUUUGAUAUUAAGAUGAUCCUUUUUUAUUUGUUUGUCCCUGAGACAUUUGCAUAUUUGGAAUGAGAGUGUUGGGGGCAGUAAUAGCGAUAGAAACAACAUGGAGGGAUUACUCGAGCAGAGAUCUAGGUCUUAAGGAUUUUGAGUGGGCCAUACCGUCAUACCCAUCCUUUCUGGUAUCAUAGAGCGGAUCAAAAUGACUCGACAAGUGAUUGCUGAAGCCAAAAAUCCGGUUACCAGUAUGGUGCUUGAGAGAUGCAAGAUGACAUUCCAGGGUCUAAUGCUUACAUUACUGGACUAAUUAUUAUUGGUGGAGUGACUAUGUUUCCUUCUACUCUCUAGGUUAACAAGACCUUGAUAAGGACGAUGGUGAUUGCAUUGAAGGAUCUGUAUACAGAGUUUGUUUUGAAUGAUUCAAAUAGAUCAAUCAGCUGUUAUCUGUUUCUUUAAUAGGAGCUUUCAAGUGCUUCUGCCAUGGCCGCUGCUUUGUAUUUUGGAGAAGAAUCAGGUAGAUUAGUUGAGAGAGAUAUAUACAGGCUAAAUUGUUAUGGCUUUAAUUUUGUUCUGUUUUUUGGAAUGUAAUGUAUAGUGUGCAGAGUGAGAUGUGGUGUCUAUGUUGUACUGUAUGGUUUUCAAUUCUUUGAGGAAACCCUGUAAAAGUGUUUGGUGUUUAAUUGUUUUC